UUAAUAAUCAUAUUGAACAAUUGAAUUAAGAUUACAUGGAGUAGAAAAAAAAUCAGUUUUCCAAUUCCUACACCAAUUUCAACAUUUUUGGGUGAUAGGAUAUUGAUAUUAUUUGAGUUUAUUUAAUUUAUUUUCUAGUUGCAAGUGUCUUAAGAAUAGGGUUUAAGUCUUUCAGAAAUUUACUGCUAUUUCAAAAUUACUAUUUAUGGGUAAUUUUUGGACUUACUAUUUGUAGUGAUUUCCAUAAUUACUACUUAUAGUAAACUGGUGAUUUGCUUUUUUUAGUAAUUUUUGGUGCCUUUACAUUAAAUUAGUUUUAGUAGGAUUAGGAAAGUGUUAUUAGAGUUGUUUUAGGAAUUAGAGUCCGUAUUGGAGUUUUCGUAUCGGUUACUUAUGAAUUUGCUUUAGGCCCCAUUUGUGUUCACUUACAUAGGUAAGCGAGUUUACCUGGGCAAAAGUUACUUGAGUAAGUUUGGUGCCAGUGUUCAUAUGCGCUUUCACUUACCAAGGUAAAGGGAGAGGCGGGAGGGGAUUAGCAAGUAAGUAGUAAGAGUUCUCCUUAUCUAUGCUUUAUCACUCUCCACAAGGUUUCUAAAAAGCCGUCAAGAUUUGCCCAUCAUGUUCUUCAUUUGGUGAUCAUUAAAAUAACUUCUUCACCUCUCCUUGAACUUUUCAUUCUUUAAUAAAACUCUUUAGUCUUCACUUUAAUUGCCUUUUAUACUUUUGUUCAUAUUCAAAAGGGUUUGGCAAAAGUUUUAGUGCCAACUACCAAUCUGACGCAACCCUCCUCCUUUAUCUGGGCUUGGGAUCGGCUGUGUAAGACAAGUUGGAGUUGGAAUAUGGCAUGGAUGAUGACAAUGAUGAUACUUUUGUUCUUUCUUAUCUUUUUUAUUUGUUUUCAUCAUUUUCUUCUUUCUUAUCUUUGCAAAUAUGUAUAUAUCCUUUUGGCCUUGUUUUGUAUGUAGCUUUUUGCCGAACUCAUCAUGUGCCUUAAGUUUAGCUUUAUCUACUUAUUGUUUUCAAUUUAUAUCUUGCAUUUUUAUAUUUCUAAUUUCUCUCUAUUUCCAUUUUUUGUCAAACCUUGUAACAAAACUUCUUUGUUUUCAUAGCUCCUUGAAUUUCUCCAUUUCUACCACAGAAGCCUCUUUAGACAAAUGUAUUUUACCUUUUAAUUUUCCAAUGAAAAGGUGUGGAAAUGGGAAAAUGCUGGUGGCUUUCUUAAUUUGGACAGAUACACUUGGCAGAUGCUUAACAAAAGGCAAGCUGGAAGCAAUGUUGUCUUCCGGAUACAGUACUGGAGCUAUUUAAAGGAUGGAGAAUUUCAGGCUUGUCCAGUAGAGGGAAGGUUUUCUGAGGAAUUUUGCCUGCUGCUAUUAUCUGGAAAGUGUGGAGAGAAAGAAAUAUGUGUAUUUUUGAAAAUAAGUAAUCAGAUAUGGAUACAGUAAGAAGUAAUGUAAAAGGCUUGUUAUGUUCUUGGCUAAGCAAUCAUAAACCAUUUCAGGGAAUCCAGUUCAGCUUUUUUUUGAUUGUGGAUCUCUUUUUGUUUGAUAAUAUGUUCUGCUUGUUUUUUUGCAUCGUACUUCCCACUGUACAGUCACAAUGUACAUGGGUUGCUGGGUUGUUGUGUAUUUCUGGGUUAGUUGAUCAAUACAAUAUAUUACGUUAACUUUUCAAAAAAAAAAAAAAAUAGAAAUCCUCCCUUGCAUUACAUUUUCCUUCAACUUUUAGUUUCUCUAAAUCAUAUUAGUUUUGUUUCUUCCCCUACAUCCAUUUGUCCUUCAACUUUUAAUUCAUACUUACAUUGCAUUAGCUUUUUUCUCUUUAGAUUCUAACUAAAUGUCCAUCCUUCUUCUUAAAGAGUGUGUGUUUUUUAAUUGCAAGAAAAACUGCUAUUACAAAAUCUAAAUUGCAUCUCCUCAUUUCAUUUCUUUCUCUGUAACCAUAUCCUCCAUGCAUCUAUCAUAGCUUGUAUUUUAUUUCUCUAUUUGACCAUUUAAAUUCCAGCCAAUGAAAUUUUGUUUCCAAUUGCAAUUUCUUAAACUAUUCUAUCCAAAAUUUCCCAAAAUAUUUUCAUGUUUUUAUCUAGUCCUACUUGAGGUGGCAUGAAUGAUUUAGGGUUCAUGUUCAUAGUGGAUUUGCUAAAGGGUUUUUUUCCACUCAUUGUUUUUAUUCUUUUAUUUAUGUUGUUUUGUUUUUUAUUCCUUUCCCACAAUGCAUGUAUGCAUUUUGUAUUCUCUUUUUCCUUUAAUAUUGUUUUAUCUUUUAGUAUAUAAGCAAAUACUUAAUAAAGAAGUUCUUUGUAAGAGAAAAAUUGCCAAAAUCUUCAGGGGCUGCAAGACUACUCUUCUACAGGUUGGCUGGCUCUAUAAUUCCAAUUGAUCGUUAUGUUUCACAUCGACAUGGUCUGAAUCUAUAUUUGCUUUCUGUAAUAUGCCCCAUUAAAUUCUCACCAUUUAGCUGGUAUGCCAAAGAGUGAACAGUGGUUUUAUUGCCAAGUCUCCUACCUAGACCACAACAGCCAUCCACACCGGUUAAAUGACCAAAUUUGUAAUGCUGAUCUGAGAAACUUGUUCUUGGGUAGCUCCUACUUUGUGUGUGUGUGUGUGGAACAUAUUUGUAUGUUUAAAGAAUAUGGGGGUGAACUGCCAAGAACAGAGAGCUAGACAAUGAAAAGAAUGUUGGGAUAUGAUUUAAUAUCAAAGAGUUCCCUGAAGCUAGAAAUCAUAAAAUGUUCAACAUCCUGGUUUUAUUUAUUUAUUUUUGUAUUGAAUUUUUUGCAAAUAUUCACACCUACUCAUUCAUGGUGAAGGUUGUAGGAUAUCGUACUUUUUGGAGGUUUCAUCUCUUUUGCCCCCAAUCUUUCUUUAAAAACUAUAUAUGCUUUACUUGCUUGCUAUCGUUGUGUUUUAUACCAAGAAAAAUCAUUGUUUUCUUUAUAUAGUUAGAUAUAUAAAUAUCUGGAUACUUACUAAAUCUUGUUCUCU